rnacentral:rRNA from 1 species
CCGUAGGGGGACCUGCGGAGGGAUCAUUACCGAGUUUACAACUCCCAAACCCCUGUGAACAUACCUUAAUGUUGCCUCGGCGGAUCAGCCCGCGCCCCGUAAAACGGGACGGCCCGCCAGAGGACCCAAACUCUAAUGUUUCUUAUUGUAACUUCUGAGUAAAACAAACAAAUAAAUCAAAACUUUCAACAACGGAUCUCUUGGUUCUGGCAUCGAUGAAGAACGCAGCAAAAUGCGAUAAGUAAUGUGAAUUGCAGAAUUCAGUGAAUCAUCGAAUCUUUGAACGCACAUUGCGCCCGCUGGUAUUCCGGCGGGCAUGCCUGUUCGAGCGUCAUUUCAACCCUCAAGCCCCCGGGUUUGGUGUUGGGGAUCGGCUCUGCCCUUCUGGGCGGUGCCGCCCCCGAAAUACAUUGGCGGUCUCGCUGCAGCCUCCAUUGCGUAGUAGCUAACACCUCGCAACUGGAACGCGGCGCGGCCAUGCCGUAAAACCCCAACUUCUGAAUGUUGACCUCGGAUCAGGUAGGAAUACCCGCUGAACUUAAGCAUAUCAAU